UUCAACCAGUGGAAUAUAAGUGCAAAAUGAUAUUUACAACUUCUAGGCCUAUAAAAAAACACCUACCAUAAAACCUCCCAGCACAGUGGCCAAGGUGGAAAAAGAAAGAGCACAGCAUAGGUAGUGUCGAUAAGAAAGCCAUAUUGUGUGAUUAUCAAAAAGAGGCACAUAACCUGAUGAAGUCAAAGGCAUCACCCAGAGAGAAUGACUACAAUGGCUGCAGAAAUAAUUGGAGAGGAAGUAAAAAGGUAGCAGUCAUCAUUACCAGGGAAUGAGUGAACUUGGUCACAUCUAUUGUCAUCCCUUCAAUUGAA